GUGAGAGACCAGGUGCGGUUACACUGAAAUGCGGGGGAGAAACUAACAAUAAAACGAACUUACCCGGGAAAUAGCCAGUGGCUGCUCGAAGUCCUUUCCCCCAACCAGCCUGAACCCCCAGGGGCCGGGACCCUGCAAUGCCACACGGAGAGGCAUGGUGUGAAAGUUUUGAAACAGAGCCGACGGUGGUUAAGGAGCUGCCUCAGACCUCUGGUUCACUUCCUACUGCAAUAUGACGUGGAGUAAUCAAUGGUCAAAAAUUUGAGGCCGACUGCAACUCCACCGCAUUAGUGAAGGGGGAGGACCCUCGGAUUACAGUUGGACGAAUAGAUUUUGAAGUUUCCUCCCUGAUAAGUGAGACCGAAGAUCGUGUAUGAAGAAGAUGGAUCACUCGCGUACAUAUGUGUACUCGCGCAUACGCCACUGACGUGCAGAAUUGUGGGAUUAAGCCACCAUACUGGCAUUCACCCACUUUCCUGAGUCCAGCCACAACACUGCACUACAUCAGAAAUGAUCAUCAGAUAACACAGCUGACGUUCAGCAGUCCAGAGGUUUUCAUCUAUUACAUUUUCUAAACCAACACGCUUUCUAAUGAGCCAGGAUGAAAACUCUCAUGCUCACACACCCGGAACAAGUUGGCCAAUGCUAAAAACAGACUUUUGUCAAAAAACAAAACG